rnacentral:rRNA from 1 species
CCUUAGUAACGGCGAGUGAAGCGGCAACAGCUCAAAUUUGAAAGCUGGCUCCUUUGGAGUCCGCGUUGUAAUUUGUAGAGGAUGAUUCGGCAAGGGCUCCCGCCUAAGUCUCCUGGAACGGAGCGUCAUAGAGGGUGAGAAUCCCGUAUGCGGUGGGCUGCCUAAGCCAUGUGAAUCUCCUUCGACGAGUCGAGUUGUUUGGGAAUGCAGCUCUAAAUGGGAGGUAAAUUUCUUCUAAAGCUAAAUACCGGCCAGAGACCGAUAGCGCACAAGUAGAGUGAUCGAAAGAUGAAAAGCACUUUGGAAAGAGAGUUAAAAAGUACGUGAAAUUGUUGAAAGGGAAGCGCUUGCAGCCAGACUUGUCCGCAGUUGCUCAGCCGGUCUCCUGACCGGUGUACUCUUCUGCGGCCAGGCCAGCAUCAGUUCGGGCGGUCGGAUAAAGACCUCGGGAAUGUAGCUCCUCUCGGGGAGUGUUAUAGCCCGGGGUGGAAUGCGGCCAGCCUGGACUGAGGAUCUCGCUUCGGCUAGGAUGCUGGCGUAAUGGCUGUAAGCGGCCCGUCUUGAAACACGGACCAAGGAGUCUAACAUCUAUGCGAGUGUUUGGGUGUCAAACCCAUGCGCGUAAUGAAAGUGAACGGAGGUGGGAACCCUCACGGGUGCACCAUCGACCGAUCCUGAUGUCUUCGGAUGGAUUUGAGUAAGAGCAUAGCUGUUGGGACCCGAAAGAUGGUGAACUAUGCCUGAAUAGGGUGAAGCCAGAGGAAACUCUGGUGGAGGCUCGCAGCGGUUCUGACGUGCAAAUCGAUCGUCA